AUACGUAGGGUGCGAGCGUUGUCCGGAAUUACUGGGCGUAAAGAGCUCGUAGGUGGUUUGUCGCGUCGUCUGUGAAAUUCCGGGGCUUAACUCCGGGCGUGCAGGCGAUACGGGCAUAACUUGAGUACUGUAGGGGAGACUGGAAUUCCUGGUGUAGCGGUGAAAUGCGCAGAUAUCAGGAGGAACACCGGUGGCGAAGGCGGGUCGCUGGGCAGUAACUGACGCUGAGGAUCGAAAGCAUGGGUAGCGAACAGGAUUAGAUACCCUGGUAGUCCAUGCCGUAAACGGUGGGCGCUAGGUGUAGGGGUCUUCCACGACUUCUGUGCCGUAGCUAACGCAUUAAGCGCCCCGCCUGGGGAGUACGGUCGCAAGGCUGAAACUUAAAGGAAUUGGCGGGG
rnacentral:rRNA from 1 species